ACUAAAUACUAUAAAAAUGCUUGAUUCAUUAACUGAGUGGACCCAUCAAUAGUUCGACCAAUAGCUGAAUAAGUUGGAAGAGUUUGGUGAGGUGGUGAGGCCGGCCACCAGUGAUGUAUCAGGUCGUUGAGGCAUUAUUGCUUUGAACAUUAUUCUUGUCGUAUUAUAUACUUCCAUUACUUAAUUUAUUUUUCAGAUUGACGUGAAAAUAGGUAGAGCUGAGAUUGGUUUGGUGGAAGAUUUGGAGACUUUAAAUUACUGAUUAUUUUGUAUUAAUUUUGUUAGUAGAUAUAAUAUUAACAUUUAAAGAUUAUUAUAUAUGUAAAGAAAAUAGUGCUCUGAUUUGUAUAUAAAGAUCCGAUCUUUAUCGUUAAUAAUUCAUAAUGAAGGAAAAAAUAAGAAGGGUCGUUACAAACUUGCACCAAGCAUAGACAUAAAGGUCAUGUUUGUUUUGGAAAUUGAAUUUGAAGGAUUAAAAAUUUAGUUGGAUUUAAAAUUGGAUAAUAAAUUCAGUCGGACUAAGUCAGAUUACUAAUCUUGUGAAAUCUCAAUAUGCACUUAUUUAUUUUUAAAUGGAUACGAGUGUUGGAUAAAAUACUUUUGUUCAUGUUUUUCAUGAUUACCCUCACAUCAUAAUUUUAACUAAUAAAAAAAAGAUAAUUUGAUGGAUUAUAAAGUAAAAUUAAUAUAUAUAUAUAUAUAAUUUUUGUUAUCUUUAUUUUUUUUCCUUUUUUUUUUUUUUUUCCCUUUUUCCUUUUUCCCCUUGUUUAUCGAUUUUUCUUUUUUUGAGGUUUUAAUUGUUUUCUUUUUUUAAAUUUUUUUAAUUAUAUAUAUCUAUUUUGUUUUUUUUUUUGUAUCUUUCUUUUUUUUCUCUUUUUUUAAUAUAUAUAUUUUGUUUUUUUUUUUUCUUUUGUUUAAAUUCUUUUUAAUAUAUAUAUAUAUUUUGUUUUUUGUUAUCUUCUCCUUUUUUUUUCUCUUUUUCUCUAUAAAAUCUGUUUUCCCUAUUCUUAUCUGCUUUGUUUGAAUUUUUUCUUUUUCUUUUUUUUACUUUUUAUUUUUUUACACUGUUUUUCACAAUUUUUUUUUAAAUUAACUUUUUCUUCUUCUUCUUCUUUUUAUCAGUUUUUAAUUUUCUAUUUAUUAUUUUUCUUUAUUUUUAAUUUUUCUUUAUUUUGUUUGUUUUUUCUUGUUUUUUAUUACUUUUUAACAUUUUUUUUUUAUAUAUAUAUAUUCGUUUUAUUUAUUUAUCGAGAAAAAAGUUGUGUGGCUAGGUGUUGCUAUACUUAUUAUGGGUAUUUUAAUAAUUUUAGGCGUAAUCCAUAUCCCCUGGAUUUGUAAUAAUGGGGGUUGGUAGUAUUACAAAUUCAGCCAAUUUGAUGGAUUACAUAUCUAAAUCUCAAAGGGAGUCAACAAAUAUCAUAUUAGUGGCCUCACAUGAUUUGUAAUCUAAUUCGACAUUCUUAUUUCUAAAACAAACAUGCCCAAAGUACUUCGUCUACUAUUUUCUACGUAUAUGUGGUGGAUCCUAUAGGUAUAACAUAUAUUUUGGAGAUAAAUGGCGUGGUGUCUAAAUAUAGUGAAACAUAUUCGGGACAUAUAAUUUUAUAAAAUUUAUGUUUGUAUUUUCUUUUUUAUCCAGUGAUUUAGAACACAAUAGCAGAUGAAGGGGUGAAAUCUAAAUCACCGUUGGUUGUGUGAUUGCCGAGUUAGCAGAUAUGAUGGGUAAGAAGGGGAUUAAUGCUUACGAUUGGUCAAAUAAUCCGUCAAGUUACUUAAAUAAUGCGUUUGCCAUUUGGGAGACUUUUUUGUGUUCCGGUCAGCACUCUCUCACUCCUAAUCGAACUAAUAAUAUCCAUGUGUAAAAUUAUUAUAUCCUCAGGUAAGGAUAGGAUAAUCCCAGAACUAAGUCAAUUCCCAAUUAAACCGUCAAAGCAACAAAGGCCAUGUUACCCCUCAAAAUUUGUUAUAAGAGAACUGUCGCGCAAUUCCCAUAAAAAAAGUUGUUGUUGCGCAAUUAGUUAAACUCACUUAAUCCAGUGUUUGGAUCCAGGAUAUGGAGGAGGAAAAAGGAACAAAAGAUAAAAAAAAAAAGAAAUUGAUUUCUGCACUCUAAAAAUUAAUUUCUGCACUCCAAAUAGGAGUGCAGAAAUCAAUUUCUUUUUUGCACACCAAUAAUGGUAUUGAUUUCUGCACUCCUACUUUUACAAAUUUUGGAGUGCAGAAAUUAAUUUUUGAAGUGCAAAAAUUAAUUUUCAAAAAAAAAUGAUAGAUGUAAGGGUGAAAUACACUAACCACCCUUGAGUUUCUGAGUCAAUACACAAAGCAUCCGUAGCGUUUGAGAAAUGACAGUGACCUCUCAUGAGGUUUGAAACUUGUAACAGAUUCCCUCCAUUUUACACUAAGCACCCCUGAGAUUCUGAGUUAUACAACAAAGCACCUUUAGUCAAUCGGCUGUUAGCAAGAUUUGACGUCCAUCAUGACGUCAGUCUAAAUAGUGUUAAAAUACUAUAUAGCUAUUUUUUUGCAAGUUAUUAUAUACCCACAAGAUAUUGAUUGAAUAAAUAAAAAAUAAUUCAUAUUGAACCAAUUAAUUAUUUAAUUGUAUCAUUUACACCAUUUUUUUACUAAUCUAUUUUGAAAUGUUUAAGAAAUCGAUCCGUGUUAUCCAUGUGCUUAAUUACUACUCUUAUGUCUAAUCUAUUUUUUUUUUGAUGCAUUCAUCACAAGAUUGUGGAGUAUAUGUAAUUUUAUCAAAAAGAAUGACAUAUAUGGUAUUCCAAUCACUAUUCAGCUGACAUCAUGGAUGGACAGUCAAUCUUACUAACGGACGAUUGACGUCAUGAAUGCUUUGUAUAUUAACCUGGGAACUUUAAGAGUUGUUAGUGUAAAAUAAGGUGAAUCUUUUACAAGUUUCAAAUCUCAGGGGUAUUUUGUGUAUUAACCCGGAACCUCAGGGUGGUCAGUGUAUUUCACCCUAAAUGUAAAUGUUUAGAUUUAACUUUUUUCUUUUACUUUUAAUAAAAAUAAAAAAAAAACUCUUAAGAGUCUCGUUAGAGAUGUUAGUGAUUUAUACUAAAAGACAUAUUUUAUGUAAUAACUUUAGUAUUUAUUAAUAAAUUAGUUAUUAUAUUUUAAUGAGAAUUUGUGUAAACAAUAUUUGCAUUACAUUAUUUAUUUAAUGAUUUGGCAUGUAUGUCUCUUAUUUCUUUAUAAGUAAAAUGUUUGGGUAUGUAGAGUAAGGUUUUACCACGGAAGAUCAAAUCAUCGGUUUCUUAUGGAAUAUAAGUUAUUGUUCAUAGUUUUUAGAUGGAAUUGGACACACCAUCAUAAGGACUGUACCGUAAGGUUUUAAUAAGUCUAUCUUGAACUAUGAGGAACGGUGUAUUUUCCAACUCCUUGCACUAGUAUACAACUUUAUAUGUAUUUGAUAGACCAUGUUGAUGUAAAUUAUUUUUUUUAACUGACUAAUAAAAUAAUUACUAUCUUAUAUUUAUUUAUGAUGCUAUACUCUCAACCUGAUUAAUACAUAACAUUGUGCAUUUAUCAUUUAUUGUUUUUAAUUUUACGAAAGAGUGAGAUUUCCUUGUAGUCAAUAAACUCAGUGAGUUUUUAGACGUAAACAUUACGUGCAUGAUAAUCUUAAAUUAUUGAUGGAAAUUUGCAUCCCAAUAUAUGGAUUGAUGAUACCUUCCUUGAGUAAGUUAAUAUAAGUUUUGAUUAGGUCAAACCCUUGAAAGUGGAUUUAUGAAUCCUUCUAUCAAUAAACUUAAGUGGAGGUCCCCUUAAUAAAUUUACAUAAUUUUUAUUAAUUUAAUUUUAGUAUUAAAUUUAAUUAGACGGGUGUUUGUAAUCUUAACAUGAAAGAAAUAAAUAAGCCUUUAAUAAAAUAAAUCUCAAAAUAUAAUUCUGGUAUACAAGGAGUGGUAAUUAUAUUUUUAGAUGGCCUUAAAAUUAUAAUUUAUAUAAUAGGGGAUUAAUCUGGUUGGAAUAAGAAUCCCUUAUUUGUUUAGAAAAUCUAAUCAUACUGAGUCUCUGUCCCUGCUAUAGCCUAGACACGCGCUUCUAUUAACAUCUAAGGUUAAUGUCACCCCCACUCCAGUAUAACAUAUGUCUACACAAAGUAGUCUGCACAUCACAACCUGUUUAUUUUAUAAUAUAUACACUGUCAAAUAGAAACAUACUACCACUUGUUAUAAUAUCAACUCACUACACAAGUGACAUUUUCAAAAAUAUUCUUUCAUACUACAUUAUGGGCAACCAUCCACAACUAACUAAUCUACUAAAAUAAAACUAUAACCAAAAUUAAGUCCAAUAUACAGUCCCAAAAGUAUAACUAUAUAUAUAUACAACUCUUAAAUACUAAAACUUCCACCCUGUUAACAUCCUGGAUGAUAUUGUAUGAACCGACCAUUUCUCUCUAGGGAAAAAUCUGUCACACCAAAAGGUAGCAGGAUAGUGUCCAUAGUGGUGAAUUAAAAUAGAAAAAAAUUUGGAACACAAUUUUUUAGAUGGAUCAAAUCAUUUAAAUAACCAGUUUUCUCAAAUAAUCUAUCAAGCUAUACAACAAACAAUUCCAAAUUUCAUUUUUGUAAAUAAUUUCUCUAAAAACCUGAGAAUAAAUCUCAAUCAAGCAAAAAAUAAGAUUGCUCUACAACAAUCAUCUUUUCCACUAAAAAUAACUAUCAUUUUAUACCAAAUGUGCCAAACAAUUCGUUUAACACUCACACUCGAGAGUAGGAUGGUAUCGUUACCGUUAGUCCCACAAAUUCACAUAAGUGGUGUGAGGAGUGGCCAUUCUUUAUACCAAUGGUAGGAGUGCUAACAGUUAGAUUAGUAAUCAAUCACAAUGCUAAGCAACAACUAAACUUACCAGGCAAACAACACCAAAGUUUCCCAUAGUCAGGGUAGGCACAGAAACCAACUUACCGGUUAAGCACACAACUAACCUUGCCAACAUGGCACAAUAGCAUCAAAAUAACAUUUAAUAACCAAAAACAUAU
rnacentral:lncRNA from 1 species